rnacentral:sRNA from 1 species
GCUGCUGCUGCUGCUGCUCGUGUAUGUAUGUGUUGCUGGCCAGCUGUUGAGUCUGCUUGGAUCCUGUUUAACUCCACAAAAAUAAUAGACAGAUAUAUGAAUGUACGUGCGCACGACAGCAUGUGUGUGUGUGUUGGUGUUAUAAAACGGCAUUUGCUUUGGCUUCGCUUUGCUGCGUACUUACAUACAUAUAUAAGCAAACAUACAUCAUAUGUAUCUAUAUACAUGUAUAUCCUGCAGAAUGUCUACCCUGUCACACAGUGGCGUUAAAUCAUAUGACAAUUUCCGCAAUCGAAUAAACAAAAUAAUUAACAAUAAGAACAGCUCUGAUAAUUAUUUGUAUAAAUAAUUACAUAUGUAUAUGUGUUAUAAUAACUUUUAUACGUCAAUUAUCUAUGCAUUGCCCACAGUGUGUGCUUCAUUGCAUACAAAACACAGCUGUAAUUGUUGUUGUUUUUAUUUGCGCUUACCAAUCCUUUACCCUGCUCAGAACACACGCACACACAGACACGGAGUCUCAAUCAUGCAUACACACAUAUCUGCGCAUUUACAUUCAGCACGUACACACACGCUCUAACACCAAUACAUAUGGCGAGGGUUCGUUGUGGACUCCAUUUGGCUUCGCUUGGGCACUUGAAUUGCCGUCACCUUCUUCAUCGUCGUCGUCGUCGUCUGUCUUUCCAGUACCUUCGUGCAGCGCAAUACGCGCGGUGUGUGUUUUGAGUCGCGCAGAGUUUCUUAUUUGCCGCCCGCUCGUUAAUUUUUUUGCAAUAUGUUGGCGCAGGUUCAGCGAAAACCCGUGCUCGGCCACAGUUCAACGUUUGUGUCACCUGCGAAAUAAAACAUGCAUUUUAAUCACUGCAAGCAAACUAAUUAAAAGCUAAACAACCAAUCUUAAAUAUAUUUAACGAAAAUAAGACACAAUGUGAGCAUGUAUUAUGUGAAACUUAGGAGUUAAGCGCGAAUUGUCUGUAUUAUUUAAAUU